AUUGAACGCUGGCGGCAUGCCUUACACAUGCAAGUCGAACGGCAGCACGGGAGCAAUCCUGGUGGCGAGUGGCGAACGGGUGAGUAAUAUAUCGGAACGUGCCCAGUCGUGGGGAUAACGUAGCGAAAGCUACGCUAAUACCGCAUACGAUCUAAGGAUGAAAGCGGGGGAUCGCAAGACCUCGCGCGAUUGGAGCGGCCGAUAUCAGAUUAGCUAGUUGGUGAGGUAAAGGCUCACCAAGGCGACGAUCUGUAGCUGGUCUGAGAGGACGACCAGCCACACUGGGACUGAGACACGGCCCAGACUCCUACGGGAGGCAGCAGUGGGGAAUUUUGGGACAAUGGGCGCAAGCCUGAUCCAGCAAUGCCGCGUGCAGGAUGAAGGCC
rnacentral:rRNA from 1 species